rnacentral:rRNA from 1 species
AUUGAACGCUGGCGGCAGGCCUAACACAUGCAAGUCGAGCGGAUGAAGGGAGCUUGCUCCUGGAUUCAGCGGCGGACGGGUGAGUAAUGCCUAGGAAUCUGCCUGGUAGUGGGGGAUAACGUCCGGAAACGGGCGCUAAUACCGCAUACGUCCUGAGGGAGAAAGUGGGGGAUCUUCGGACCUCACGCUAUCAGAUGAGCCUAGGUCGGAUUAGCUAGUUGGUGGGGUAAAGGCCUACCAAGGCGACGAUCCGUAACUGGUCUGAGAGGAUGAUCAGCCACACUGGAACUGAGACACGGUCCAGACUCCUACGGGAGGCAGCAGUGGGGAAUAUUGGACAAUGGGCGAAAGCCUGAUCCAGCCAUGCCGCGUGUGUGAAGAAGGUCUUCGGAUUGUAAAGCACUUUAAGUUGGGAGGAAGGGCAGUAAGUUAAUACCUUGCUGUUUUGACGUUACCAACAGAAUAAGCACCGGCUAACCUCGUG